rnacentral:rRNA from 1 species
UACGAAGGGGGCUAGCGUUGUUCGGAAUUACUGGGCGUAAAGCGCGCGCAGGCGGCUAUCCAAGUCAGUGGUGAAAGCCCGGAGCUCAACUCCGGAACUGCCAUUGAAACUGUUUAGCUUGAGGAUGAGAGAGGUGAGUGGAAUUCCCAGUGUAGAGGUGAAAUUCGUAGAUAUUGGGAAGAACACCGGUGGCGAAGGCGGCUCACUGGCUCGUUACUGACGCUCAGGCGCGAUAGCGUGGGGAUCAAACAGG